rnacentral:rRNA from 1 species
CCCUUAGAUGUCCUGGGCAGCACGCGUGCUACAAUGAUGCAUUCAACGAGUCUUGCCUUAACCGAAAGGUUCGGGUAAACUUUUGAAAUUGCAUCUUGUCAGGGCUUGAUCAUUGUAAUUUUUGAUCACAAACAAGGAAUUCCUUGUAAAUGUGAGUCAUCAACUUGCAUUGAAUACGUCCCUGCCCUUUGUACACACCGCCCGUCGCUUCUACCGAUGAAUGAUCCGGUGAACACUCUGGACUUGUUGUCUGUCGGAGCAAUCCAAAGACGAUAGGGAAGUUGUGUAAACCUUAUCAUUUAGAGGAAGAAGAAGUCGUAACA